GGUCGGAUGGCCGAGCGGCUAGGCACGGGUCUGCAAAACCCUUUACAGCGGUUCGAAUCCGCUUCCGACCUCAA
rnacentral:tRNA from 1 species